UGAGCAACCUGCCCCUGGCUCUGGGAUAACUCCGGGAAACCGGAGCUAAUACCGGAUACGAGACCGAUUGGCAUCUCUACGGUCUGGAAAGUUUUUCGGCCAGGGAUGGGCUCGCGGCCUAUCAGCUUGUUGGUGGGGUAACGCCCACCAAGGCGACGACGGGUAGCCGGCCUGAGAGGGCGACCGGCCACACUGGGACUGAGACACGGCCCAGACUCCUACGGGAGCA
rnacentral:rRNA from 1 species